AGGGUUGUGAGGUUAAGCGAACAAGCGUACACGGUGGAUGCCUAGGCAGUCAGAGGCGAUGAAGGACGUGCUAAUCUGCGAAAAGCGCCGGCGAGCUGAUAUGAAGCGCGACCAACCGGCGAUGUCCGAAUGGGGAAACCCAGUGCGAUACGUCGCACUAUCAUUAACUGAAUCCAUAGGUUAAUGAGGCGAACCGGGGGAACUGAAACAUCUCAGUACCCCGAGGAAAAGAAAUCAACCGAGAUUCCCCCAGUAGCGGCGAGCGAACGGGGAGCAGCCCAGAGCGGUAAUCGGCUUGCGUUUCAGUGGAAGCGUCUGGAAAGUCGCGCAAUAGAGGGUGACAGCCCCGUACACGAAGAAGCGCGAGCGGAGAGCUCGAUGAGUAGGGCGGGACACGUGUUAUCCUGUCUGAAGAAGGGGGGACCAUCCUCCAAGGCUAAAUACUCCUGACUGACCGAUAGUGAACCAGUACCGUGAGGGAAAGGCGAAAAGAACCCCGGCGAGGGGAGUGAAACAGAUCCUGAAACCGUGUACGUACAAGCAGUGGGAGCCCUGAUACGUCAGGGUGACUGCGUACCUUUUGUAUAAUGGGUCAGCGACUUAUAUUCUGUAGCAAGGUUAACCGUAUAGGGGAGCCGUA
rnacentral:rRNA from 1 species